CAGCCGUAAACAAUGUGCGUUAGGUGUGUCGGUAACCACGUGUUACUGAUGCGCCGAAGAGAAAUCGUGAAACGCACCACCUGGGAAGUACGGUCGCAAGGCUGAAACUUAAAGGAAUUGGCGGGGGAGCGCCACAACAGGUGGAGCCUGCGGUUUAAUUGGAUUCAACGCCGGACAUCUCACCGGAUAAGACAGCUGAAUGAUUGUCAAUCUGAAGGUUUUACAUGACUAGCUGAGAGGAGGUGCAUGGCGUCAGUGACU
rnacentral:rRNA from 1 species